rnacentral:rRNA from 1 species
GACAUUGUGUCUUCGAGUCGUUGAUUUCACACUGCCGAGAAAAGCCUCUAGAUAGAAAAUAGGUGCCCGUACCGCAAACCGACACAGGUAGUCAAGAUGAGAAUUCUAAGGUGAGCGAGCGAACUCUCGUUAAGGAACUCGGCAAAAUGACCCCGUAACUUCGGGAGAAGGGGUGCUCUUUAGGGUUAACGCCCAGAAGAGCCGCAGAGAAUAGACCCAAGCGACUGUUUAUCAAAAACACAGGUCUCUGCUAAACCGUAAGGUGAUGUAUAGGGGCUGACGCCUGCCCGGUGCUGGAAGGUUAAGAGGAGUGGUUAGCUUUUGCGAAGCUACGAAUCGAAGCCCCAGUAAACGGCGGCCGUAACUAUAACGGUCCUAAGG